CGCGUCUGGGUCGUCCUGAGGAGACACUCUCCAGGGUCCGCGCCGGAGAGGCAGGGACGAGCGCAGGCCAGGCGGUGCCGGUGCGUCCCGGGGCAGCGUGUUUCCGAGAGGCCGUUAGCAAGGAUCCGAGUCAGCAGGAUGCUCCGCGUGGGCUUUACAGUCCAGUUCAGGUUCCUUUGAAAAAGAUGCGUCUCCCCAUCCUUCAAGGUCCCAGGAGGUUGAUGUCCCAGGAGACACACGACCCAGCUGCCUGCAGAAGCUCAGCAAUCCCUAAGGACUUGUUGGAAAUGGUUACCAUGAGACUUUCCUUCUUCACACACAACAAAGAAAAAAAAAUUAGAGUGGGAAUGGGGUUGAGAGGAGUAUGAGAAAUAUAUUUCCUGGUCUGAAUAAGAUUUUUUUCCACAGAGGAGGUAGUUAGAAAAGAAGAUACAAAAUGGGCAUUUCUUUUUGGAUAUGUCUCCUUAAAGGAAGUCAGCAGAUCUUGCACAGGUAAGAGGUGUGUGUGUGUGUGUGUGUGUGUGUGUGUGUGCGCGCGUGCGCGCGCGCACGUGCGUGUACAUAGGCAGGAAGUGUGGUAUGUGCUUUCUCAUGUAUGAGGAUGGCACAGUGAUGUCAACCUUACUGGCCAAGCCAGACUCUAGCAGCCUUUGGCUACAUCUUUCUUCUAAGCCUUCUCUUUCAUCCACAAUUAAGUUUCCCAUAGAUGUCUUGUUCUGAUUUAGAUUGCUUUUAUCUGAGAACUUCUCUAUCCUCGCCACUACCCACAGGUGCAGGAACCUCACCCUCUCUCCAGGUUGCUACUGUGCACCCUGCCCUGGCGGAGCACAAGUUUUAAUCCUCAAAUAAUACUGUAAGUGGUGUUCAAACAAAAAUCAGAAGGCCUGUGGCGUAUUUAAG
rnacentral:lncRNA from 1 species